CGGGACGUGGCGCAGCUUGGUAGCGCAUCUGCUUUGGGAGCAGAGGGUCGCAGGUUCAAAUCCUGUCGUCCCGA
rnacentral:tRNA from 2 species